GACGAACGCGGCGGCGUGCCUAAUACAUGCAAGUCGAACGCACGAAGUUGAAGAGCUUGCUCUUUAACCAAGUGAGUGGCGGACGGGUGAGUAACACGUGGGUAACCUACCCAUUAGAGGGGGAUAACAUUCGGAAACGGAUGCUAAUACCGCAUAGUUUCAGGAAUCGCAUGAUUCGUGAAGGAAAGGUGGCUUCGGCUACCACUAAUGGAUGGACCCGCGGCGUAUUAGCUAGUUGGUGAGGUAAUGGCUCACCAAGGCAAUGAUACGUAGCCGACCUGAGAGGGUGAUCGGCCACACUGGGACUGAGACACGGCCCAGACUCCUACGGGAGGCAGCAGUAGGGAAUCUUCCGCAAUGGACGAAAGUCUGACGGAGCAACGCCGCGUGAGUGAAGAAGGUUUUCGGAUCGUAAAACUCUGUUGUUAAAGAAGAACAAGGAUGAGAGUAACUGCUCAUCCCCUGACGGUAUUUAACCAGAAAGCCACGGCUAACUACGUGCCAGCAGCCGCGGUAAUACGUAGGUGGCAAGCGUUGUCCGGAUUUAUUGGGCGUAAAGCGAGCGCAGGCGGUUCUUUAAGUCUGAUGUGAAAGCCCCCGGCUCAACCGGGGAGGGUCAUUGGAAACUGGAGAACUUGAGUGCAGAAGAGGAGAGUGGAAUUCCACGUGUAGCGGUGAAAUGCGUAGAUAUGUGGAGGAACACCAGUGGCGAAGGCGACUCUCUGGUCUGUAACUGACGCUGAGGCUCGAAAGCGUGGGGAGCAAACAGG
rnacentral:rRNA from 1 species